rnacentral:rRNA from 1 species
CAGCGCGCGCCCUAGGGCACGGGGUUCGCCCACGUAACGCGCUUGGGACGCUGGCGUAAUGGCUUUAAGCGACCCGUCUUGAAACACGGACCAAGGAGUCUAACAUGCUCGCGAGUGUUCGGGUGGAAAACCCGCGCGCGUAAUGAAAGUGAAAGGUUGGGACCCCUAGCGGGGGCACCGACGCCCGGACUUGAGCUCUUGCGACGGUUCCGAGGCAGAGCGCGUAUGUUGGGACCCGAAAGAUGGUGAACUAUGCCUGAGUAGGGCGAAGCCAGAGGAAACUCUGGUGGAGGCUCGUAGCGAUUCUGACGUGCAAAUCGAUCGUCGAACUUGGGUAUAGGGGCGAAAGACUAAUCGAACCGUCUAGUAGCUGGUUCCCGCCGAAGUUUCCCUCAGGA